AGCGACGUAGGGAAGCCCGGUCUAUCCCGUCAGGCCCAUAACCUGAAGAUCACUGGUUCGAAUCCAGUCGUCGCCACCA
rnacentral:tRNA from 1 species